UACAGAGGGGGCAAGCGUUGUUCGGAAUUACUGGGCGUAAAGGGCGCGUAGGCGGCCACCUAAGUCAGACGUGAAAUCCCUCGGCUCAACCGGGGAACUGCGUCUGAUACUGGGCGGCUUGAAUUCGGGAGAGGGAUGCGGAAUUCCAGGUGUAGCGGUGAAAUGCGUAGAUAUCUGGAGGAACACCGGUGGCGAAGGCGGUUCUCUGGGCCUGUACUGACACUGAGGCGCGAAAGCGUGGGGAGCAAACAGG
rnacentral:rRNA from 1 species